UACGUAGGGUGCGAGCGUUAAUCGGAAUUACUGGGCGUAAAGCGUGCGCAGGCGGUUUUGUAAGUCAGAUGUGAAAUCCCUGGGCUCAACCCAGGAACUGCAUUUGAAACUCCCUUUCUUGAGUACCGGAGAGGAAGGUGGAAUUCCUGGUGUAGAGGUGAAAUUCGUAGAUAUCAGGAGGAACACCGGUGGCGAAGGCGGCCUUCGGGACGGUAACUGACGCUGAGACGCGAAAGCGUGGGGAGCAAACAGG
rnacentral:rRNA from 1 species